AUUGAACGCUGGCGGCAGGCCUAACACAUGCAAGUCGAGCGGAUGAAGGGAGCUUGCUCCUGGAUUCAGCGGCGGACGGGUGAGUAAUGCCUAGGAAUCUGCCUGGUAGUGGGGGAUAACGUCCGGAAACGGGCGCUAAUACCGCAUACGUCCUGAGGGAGAAAGUGGGGGAUCUUCGGACCUCACGCUAUCAGAUGAGCCUAGGUCGGAUUAGCUAGUUGGUGGGGUAAAGGCCUACCAAGGCGACGAUCCGUAACUGGUCUGAGAGGAUGAUCAGCCACACUGGAACUGAGACACGGUCCAGACUCCUACGGGAGGCAGCAGUGGGGAAUAUUGGACAGUGGGCGAAAGCCUGGUCCAGCCAUGCCGCGUGUGUGAAGAAGGUCUUCGGAUUGUAAAGCACUUUAAGUUGGGGGGAAGGGCAGUAAGUUAAUACCUUGCUGUUUUGACGUUACCAACAGAAUAAGCACCGGCUAACUUCGUG
rnacentral:rRNA from 1 species